AGCCCAUAAUUCUCCCAAAAGAGGAACAGCUUAUUAUUAAUUUGUGUCUUAUUUCCUCACAGGAAGUCUUUUAGGAUUUUACCAUGGAAGGAGCCAUAUGAGCAGUGGUAUAAAGUGACAGGAGCUGUUAGAUAGAAUAACGCUGGCUGUAUGUAGCAGCUUUACUGCAGUGUCUUGGAUACCAGGCUCUGGAGGCCAAAACUGCAGAAUUUUUCUCACCUCUCGGGGGAUGACGAGCUGGUAGCUACAUAGGGAUACCCUUCAAUCCAUCAGCUGGCCCACUGUGGCAGCAGUAUCCAUGGCUCAGUUUUUCACGCUCUUGGGAUAUGAUCUUCUACAGACCCGUUACUUCUGGCUCUGGAGAUGAUUUGGAAGUAGAGACACUGCUGACUCAAAGCUGACUUCUGUGGAAAGCCAUGCGGUGACUCCAGGAAUACGGCUGCCCGUACCACAUCCUCUCUCUGGGGUGGUUCUGCCAGCUGGCUCGUGGAGUGGUGCCAAGCUCGUGAUGCUGACCACAACCUGCAACGCAAUUGGCCCUUUCAGCCAGCGUGAAGUUCCCUGCAGAUCUGGAUGGAAGUGUCCUUCCAUGAGGAUGCUCACGCUAGUUAAGUAGUGCGUUCAUUAAGUUCAGCUGGUUGAGGGGAAAAGGGAAAAAAAAAAAAGCAGAUGGUAGCAGUUCACAUGUGAAGGGUACUCUUUGAUAUAUAUUUUCUACUGUAAAAUUUCUAUUUAAUCUAUUUACAACAUUAAGCUACCUAUACGGGACUGCGUUCUGUGAUAAAAGGGGGUUUCUGCUGAGCUCCCAAAAUAUGACUGACAUCUUGUUUGCUUUGGGCAAACAACAGUUCCUUUGACAAAGGGAUUCAUGUUAUGAUUGUCAGAAUAAAGCUCUCUGAAGUGAUUCUGACUCUCAGAUGUUAAUUACUUAGGUGGAGGGAAUUGAAACAGAACAUCUAAAACUGAUAUUAUUAUUAUUACAUAUACAAACAUGUGUUGCACAGGAA
rnacentral:lncRNA from 1 species